GAGCCGGGGUGCUGCACGGCGGCCGUGAUGGCUGGUGACGGCGGGGCCGGGCAGGGGACCAGGGCCGCGGCCCGGGAGCGGGCCAGCUGCCGGGAGCCCUGAAUCACCGCCUGGCCCGACUCCACCAUGAACGUCGCGCUGCAGGAGCUGGGAGCUGGCAGCAACGUGGGAUUCCAGAAGGGGACAAGACAGCUGUUAGGCUCACGCACGCAGCUGGAGCUGGUCUUAGCAGGUGUCUCUCUACUGCUGGCUGCACUGCUUCUGGGCUGCCUUGUGGCCCUAGGGGUCCAGUACCACAGAGACCCAUCCCACAGCACCUGCCUUACAGAGGCCUGCAUUCGAGUGGCUGGAAAAAUCCUGGAGUCCCUGGACCGAGGGGUGAGCCCCUGUGAGGACUUUUACCAGUUCUCCUGUGGGGGCUGGAUUCGGAGGAACCCCCUGCCCGAUGGGCGUUCUCGCUGGAACACCUUCAACAGCCUCUGGGACCAAAACCAGGCCAUACUGAAGCACCUGCUUGAAAACACCACCUUCAACUCCAGCAGUGAAGCUGAGCGGAAGACACAGCGCUUCUACCUAUCUUGCCUACAGGUGGAGCGCAUUGAGGAGCUGGGAGCCCAGCCACUGAGAGACCUCAUUGACAAGAUUGGUGGUUGGAACAUUACGGGGCCCUGGGACCAGGACAACUUUAUGGAGGUGUUGAAGGCAGUAGCAGGGACCUACAGGGCCACCCCAUUCUUCACCGUCUACAUCAGUGCCGACUCUAAGAGUUCCAACAGCAAUGUUAUCCAGGUGGACCAGUCUGGGCUCUUUCUGCCCUCUCGGGAUUACUACUUAAACAGAACUGCCAAUGAGAAAGUGCUCACUGCCUAUCUGGAUUACAUGGAGGAACUGGGGCUGCUGCUGGGUGGGCGGCCCACCUCCACGAGGGAGCAGAUGCAGCAGGUGCUGGAGUUGGAGAUACAGCUGGCCAACAUCACAGUGCCCCAGGACCAGCGGCGCGACGAGGAGAAGAUCUACCACAAGAUGAGCAUUUCGGAGCUGCAGGCUCUGGCGCCCUCCAUGGACUGGCUUGAGUUCCUGUCUUUCUUGCUGUCACCAUUGGAGUUGAGUGACUCUGAGCCUGUGGUGGUGUAUGGGAUGGAUUAUUUGCAGCAGGUGUCAGAGCUCAUCAACCGCACGGAACCAAGCAUCCUGAACAAUUACCUGAUCUGGAACCUGGUGCAAAAGACAACCUCAAGCCUGGACCGACGCUUUGAGUCUGCACAAGAGAAGCUGCUGGAGACCCUCUAUGGCACUAAGAAGUCCUGUGUGCCGAGGUGGCAGACCUGCAUCUCCAACACGGAUGACGCCCUUGGCUUCGCUUUGGGGUCCCUCUUCGUGAAGGCCACGUUUGACCGGCAAAGCAAAGAAAUUGCAGAGGGGAUGAUCAGCGAAAUCCGGACCGCAUUUGAGGAGGCCCUGGGACAGCUGGUUUGGAUGGAUGAGAAGACCCGCCAGGCAGCCAAGGAGAAAGCAGAUGCCAUCUAUGAUAUGAUUGGUUUCCCAGACUUUAUCCUGGAGCCCAAAGAGCUGGAUGAUGUUUAUGACGGGUACGAAAUUUCUGAAGAUUCUUUCUUCCAAAACAUGUUGAAUUUGUACAACUUCUCUGCCAAGGUUAUGGCUGACCAGCUCCGCAAGCCUCCCAGCCGAGACCAGUGGAGCAUGACCCCCCAGACAGUGAAUGCCUACUACCUUCCAACUAAGAAUGAGAUCGUCUUCCCCGCUGGCAUCCUGCAGGCCCCCUUCUAUGCCCGCAACCACCCCAAGGCCCUGAACUUUGGUGGCAUCGGUGUGGUCAUGGGCCAUGAGUUGACGCAUGCCUUUGAUGACCAAGGGCGCGAGUAUGACAAAGAAGGGAACCUGCGGCCCUGGUGGCAGAAUGAGUCCCUGGCAGCCUUCCGGAACCACACGGCCUGCAUGGAGGAACAGUACAAUCAAUACCAGGUCAAUGGGGAGAGGCUCAACGGCCGCCAGACGCUGGGGGAGAACAUUGCUGACAACGGGGGGCUGAAGGCUGCCUACAAUGUGAGUGGCCUGACCAGCCCUCCAGCGGCUGAGGCCUGCUGGCCUGGGGUGAAAGGUGCUGGGUGGAUGGGGGCAGGCCUGGAUGGGCUUGCUGCCCACUGUUCUGUCCCCAGGCUUACAAAGCAUGGCUGAGAAAGCAUGGGGAGGAGCAGCAACUGCCAGCCGUGGGGCUCACCAACCACCAGCUCUUCUUCGUGGGAUUUGCCCAGGUGU
rnacentral:sRNA from 1 species